UACCCCCCUUUUUUAGCAUAUCACUAAGCGGAGGAGAAGAAACUAACCAGGAUUUCCCUAGUAACGGCGAGCGAACCGGAAAGAGCCCAGCUUGAAAAUCGAGGCCCCUCGGGCCCCGAAUUGUAGUCUGGAGACGCAUCCUCUGCAACGCACCGGACCCAAGUUCCCUGGAAAGGGACGUCAGAGAGGGUGACAACCCCGUCGAGUCUGGACCGUGUUGCUCCACGAGGUGUGGUCGUCGAGUCGGGCUGUUUGGGAAUGCAGCCCUAAGUGGGUGGUAAAUUCCAUCCAAGGCUAAAUAUUGGCAAGAGACCGAUAGCGAACAAGUACCGCGAGGGAAAGAUGAAAAGGACUUUGAAAAGAGAGUUAAAAAGUGCUUGAAAUUGCUGGGAGGGAAGCGAAUGGAAGCUGCGGGUGUGCCCCGGUUGGAUGUGGAACGGCUCGCGCUGGUCCGCCGCUCAACGCGGGGCACUGGUCAGCGUGGGCCAUCGCGGCGGGACAAGAGCGGGGUGUAGUUCCCUGCCUAUGCCGUUGCGGUGGCCGAGGAACGAAGCGCGCGGGCUUGCCCGUGGGGUCUCCCCAACUGCGCGCUCGGGACGCUGGCGUAUUGAGCUCUUCAUCCGACCCGUCUUGAAACACGGACCAAGGAGUCUAACAUGUAUGCGAGCCGGUGGGCGGCAAACCCAUUGAGGCGCAAGGAAACUGACAGGUGGGACCCCAUCAUCUGGGAGCACCAUCGACCGACCGUGAUCUUCUGUGAA
rnacentral:rRNA from 1 species